rnacentral:rRNA from 1 species
GAUGAACGCUGGCGGCGUGCCUAAUACAUGCAAGUCGAGCGAACAGAUGAGGAGCUUGCUCCUCUGACGUUAGCGGCGGACGGGGGAGUAACACGUGGAUAACCUACCUAUAAGACUGGGAUAACUUCGGGAAACCGGAGCUAAUACCGGAUAAUAUAUUGAACCGCACGGUUCAAUAGUGAAAGACGGUUUUGCUGUCACUUAUAGAUGGAUCCGCGCCGCAUUAGCUAGUUGGUAAGGUAACGGCUUACCAAGGCAACGAUGAGUAGCCGACCCGAGAGGGUGAUCGGCCACCCGGGAACUGAGACACGGUCCAGACUCCUACGGGAGGCAGCAGUAGGGAAUCUUCCGCAAUGGGCGAAUGCCUGACGGAGCAACGCCGCGUGAGUGAUGAAGGUCUUCGGAUCGUAAAACUCUGUUAUUAGGGAAUAACAAAUGUUUAAGUAACUAUGCACGUCUUGACGGUACCUAAUCAGAAAGCCACGGCUAACUACGUG